GACGAACGCUGGCGGCGUGCUUAACACAUGCAAGUCGAACGGAAAGGCCCUGCUUUUGUGGGGUGCUCGAGUGGCGAAAGGGUGAGUAACACGUGAGUAACCUGCCCUUGACUUUGGGAUAACUUCAGGAAACUGGGGCUAAUACCGGAUAGGAGAUCCUGCUGCAUGGUGGGGGUUGGAAAGUUUCGGCGGUUGGGGAUGGAAUCGUGGCUUAUCAGCUUGUUGGUGGGGUGGUGGCUUACCAGGGCUUUGAGGGGUAGCCGGCCUGGGAGGGUGACCGGCCACAUUGGGACUGAGAUACGGCCCAGACUCCUACGGGAGGCAGCAGUGGGGAAUAGUGCACAAUGGGCGGAAGCCUGAUGCAGCAACGCCGCGUGCGGGAUGACGGCCUUCGGGUUGUAAACCGCUUUCGCCUGUGACGAAGCGUGAGUGACGGUAAUGGGUAAAGAAGCACCGGCUAACUACGUG
rnacentral:rRNA from 1 species